rnacentral:rRNA from 1 species
AUGGCCUCUUCUCUGUCGGUGCUGUUGCUCCUGUGCCUGGCGGCACCGUCCUCGGCGCAGCUUUCGCCUAGGUUCUACGCUAGGUCGUGCCCGAGGGCGCAGGCCAUCAUCAGGAGGGGUGUGGCGGCCGCCGUGAGGAGUGAGCGCCGCAUGGGAGCGUCGCUGCUCCGGCUGCAUUUCCACGACUGCUUUGUCCAAGGCUGCGACGCGUCCAUACUGCUGAGCGACACGGCCACCUUCACCGGCGAGCAGGGGGCAGGUCCGAACGCCGGCUCCAUUCGAGGCAUGAACGUCAUCGACAACAUCAAGGCGCAGGUCGAGGCCGUGUGCACGCAGACUGUCUCCUGCGCCGACAUCCUCGCCGUCGCGGCCCGAGACUCAGUCGUCGCCCUGGGAGGGCCUUCGUGGACCGUUCCUCUGGGGAGGAGGGACUCGACGACGGCGAGCUUGUCGCUGGCCAACAGCGACCUGCCGCCGCCGUCCUUCGACGUGGCCAACCUCACUGCCAACUUUGCCGCCAAGGGGCUCAGCGUGACGGACAUGGUCGCCCUCUCUGGCGCGCACACCAUCGGGCAGGCGCAGUGCCAGAACUUCCGGGACAGGCUCUACAACGAGACCAACAUCGAUACGGCCUUCGCAACAUCUCUCAGGGCCAACUGCCCACGGCCGACCGGGUCCGGCGACAGCAGCCUGGCACCGCUGGACACGACGACGCCCAACGCGUUCGACAACGCAUACUACCGCAACCUGAUGUCACAGAAGGGGCUCCUGCACUCCGACCAGGUUCUGAUCAACGACGGACGCACCGCGGGACUUGUCCGGACAUACUCGUCGGCGUCGGCGCAGUUCAACAGGGACUUCAGGGCGGCCAUGGUGAGCAUGGGGAACAUCAGCCCGCUCACCGGGACGCAGGGGCAGGUCAGGCUCAGCUGCUCCAGGGUGAACUAA